CCUACGGGAGGCAGCAGUGGGGAAUAUUGGACAAUGGGGGGAACCCUGAUCCAGCCAUGCCGCGUGUGUGAAGAAGGCCCUCGGGUUGUAAAGCACUUUCAGUGAGGAAGAACGCCUGGUGGUUAAUACCCAUCAGGAAAGACAUCACCCACAGAAGAAGCACCGGCUAACUCCGUGCCAGCAGCCGCGGUAAUACGGAGGGUGCGAGCGUUAAUCGGAAUUACUGGGCGUAAAGCGCGCGUAGGUGGCUUGAUAAGCCGGUUGUGAAAGCCCCGGGCUCAACCUGGGAACGGCAUCCGGAACUGUCAAGCUAGAGUGCAGGAGAGGAAGGUAGAAUUCCCGGUGUAGCGGUGAAAUGCGUAGAGAUCGGGAGGAAUACCAGUGGCGAAGGCGGCCUUCUGGACUGACACUGACACUGAGGUGCGAAAGCGUGGGUAGCAAACAGGAUUAGAUACCCUGGUAGUC
rnacentral:rRNA from 1 species